GUGGAUUACCCCUCUACUUAAAGGUAUACUAGCAUUUUUUAGAGGUUGCGGAUUACCCUCCUCUAAACUGAUACUUCUUCUGUUACAAUAUUGGAGUCUUAUUCUUCUUAGAGAGAGUGGAUUACCCCUCUUCUUGAAAUUCUUAAGGCGUUUUAUAGGUUGUGGAUUACCCUCCUAUAAACCAAUAUUGCCUCUUAUAGGGUCAUUUUUGUCCUUCUUUUAGAAUGGCCGGAGGUCAAGACAUUAGUAUGACAAAAAGUUCGGAGUCUAAGUUAGAUGCUAUUAUGAAUGCCCUUGCUACGUUAUCACAAAGAACUGCAGAGAUUGAAGGAGUGGUGGCAAGGCUUCAUAAUGAUGGAGUAUCUGAGA
rnacentral:lncRNA from 1 species